AGAGUUUGAUCCUGGCUCAGGACGAACGCUGGCGGCGUGCCUAAUACAUGCAAGUCGAACGCGUGGCUUCGGCCACGAGUGGCGCACGGGUGAGUAGCGCGUGGGAACCUGCCCUGUUGUGGGGGAUAACCGAGGGAAACUUCGGCUAAUACCGCAUGCGCCGGGAAACCGGGAAAGAUUUAUCGCAGCAGGAGGGGCCC
rnacentral:rRNA from 1 species